CCUACGGGAGGCAGCAGUGAGGAAUAUUGGUCAAUGGACGGAAGUCUGAACCAGCCAUGCCGCGUGCAGGAUGACGGCUCUAUGAGUUGUAAACUGCUUUUGUAUUAGGGUAAACACUCCUACGUGUAGGGGCUUGAAAGUAUAAUACGACUAAGGAUCGGCUAACUCCGUGCCAGCAGCCGCGGUAAUACGGAGGAUCCAAGCGUUAUCCGGAAUCAUUGGGCGUAAAGAGUUCGUAGGUGGCACGUUAAGUCUGGUGUUAAAGGCGGAAGCUCAACUUCCGUAGGGCACUGGAUACUGGCGAGCUUGAAUGCGGUAGAGGUAAAGGGAAUUCCUGGUGUAGCGGUGAAAUGCGUAGAUAUCAGGAGGAACAUCGGUGGCGUAAGCGCUUUACUGGGCCGUAAUUGACACUGAGGAACGAAAGCCGGGGUAGCAAAUGGGAUUAGAUACCCGAGUAGUC
rnacentral:rRNA from 1 species